GACAGAGGUGCCGAGCGUUAGGCGGAAUCACUGGGCUUAAAGCGUGUGUAGGCGGAUCGUUAAGUACCUUGUGAAAUCCCACGGCUCAACCGUGGAACGGCUGGGUAUACUGGCGAUCUUGAGCGAUCUAGGGGCAGAUGGAACAAGUGGUGGAGCGGUGAAAUGCGUAGAUAUCACUUGGAACGCCAAAGGUGAAGACAGUCUGCUGGGGAUCUGCUGACGCUGAGACACGAAAGCCAGGGGAGCGAACGGG
rnacentral:rRNA from 1 species